AACAGCUACAAAUUUGAAAUUUAGCAGGUAGGUUCCUUAUAGAGCGUAAACAUCCGCUAAGAGCUGAUUUUACGAAACUCGCCCCUUAAGAGGAUAAAACGGGGUUCGGAAGUUUGUAUGAAAGUCCUAUGUUUUUGAAGUAAGAGACUUGAAAUUUAAAAUAUAUGCUCUAUAGAUGGUGAGGAAGUGUCCAAAUGAUACAUCG
rnacentral:misc_RNA from 1 species